UGGGGAAUUUUGCGCAAUGGGGGAAACCCUGACGCAGCGACGCCGCGUGGGGGAUGAAGCUUUUCGGAGUGUAAACCCCUUUCGACCCGGAAGAAAGCCCGCAAGGGUCUGACGGUACGGGUAUAAGAAGCCCCGGCUAACUACGUGCCAGCAGCCGCGGUAAAACGUAGGGGGCCAGCGUUGCUCGGAAUUACUGGGCGUAAAGGGUCUGUAGGCGGUGCGGCAAGUCGGGAGUGAAAUCUCUGGGCUCAACCCAGAGGCUGCUUCCAAAACUGCUGUGCUUGAGUGUGAGAGAGGCUCGUGGAAUUGCAGGUGUAGCGGUGAAAUGCGUAGAUAUCUGCAGGAACACCCGUGGCGAAAGCGGCGAGCUGGAUCACUACUGACGCUGAGGAACGAAAGCUAGGGGAGCAAACAGGAUUAGAUACCCUGGUAGUCCUAGCCCUAAACGAUCAGGACUUGGGGUGCCGCCCGUUCGGGCGUCGUCCCGGAGCUAACGCGUUAAGUCCUGCACCUGGGGAGUACGGUCGCAAGACUG
rnacentral:rRNA from 1 species